rnacentral:lncRNA from 1 species
AACUUUGGCCUAAACGUCACUUUGAGAUGGUCCAGAAGAGGCUGAAGAAGUUGAAGACGCCGCCAGUUUAGCUUUCACCCAUACCAAGGUUGCCAAUGGAGGUUGGUUGGUUCUUUUAACCAAUACGCAUUCAACCAGACUCAUGCUUCAAAAGACAAAAUUCAGAUGUCUUUAACUCUAAAUGGGGGAACAAUCUGUAAUAUUAUUCUCAUAUUAUUCUCUCUCUACUCUUCCUCGCUUUCUCUCUACUAUUUCUUCUCAUUUUUAACUCAAAUCUAUUGCCAAGAGUCAGAAAGAUUUCUUCUUCAGUAGGACAUCCAAAGCUUUUUGGGCAUCCAAUAGCAUAGAGGAAGAUACAAGAUCAUCUAAAGAUAAAUCGGCAAGCCUGAUCGGUGUGUGACGAGCCUAAACAACUUUGGCCUAAACGUCACUUUGAGAUGGUCCAGAAGAGGCUGAAGAAGUUGAAGACGCCGCCAGUUUAGCUUUCACCCAUACCAAGGUUGCCAAUGGAGGUUGCUGUGAUUGUGAAAUAUUCUAUAAAAAGACUUAGUAUGUCAAAUAAAAAAAGUACUAACAUAAAUAAGAUAAACUUACACGUAGUAUCGUCAGG